AGAAAUAUGUCUGAUAAAAGAGUUACUUUGAUAGAGUAAAUGAUAGAGGCCCCAGCCCUCUUAUUUCUA
rnacentral:tRNA from 1 species